rnacentral:lncRNA from 1 species
UGGGGUUUACAUUUAAUGCUAGUACUUGCUCUCUAGGAAGCACAGCUUCUGAGGCCUUUAUGUUGGCGGCAUUUGUCGCACAACCAGUGGAGUAUUUGAAUUCACUUAGGCCUACCCCUUCUAUAAGUAGGAACUCUAUAGUUCAGAGUUGGUAUUGCUUUAGUUAUCUUUCUCAAUAUCGUGGUGAUGCUGUCUUGCCCAGUGUUGAAGGGUUGUCGGUGCUCUUCUCCAUCUUGAGAGAUCUCCUUUCUCCUUUGAUCAAUUGUUGAAUGCUUUGAGGGAGUGCUUCAAUGGGUAUCCUGCUUUGGCAUAGGACGUAUUGAAAAGUCAUGCUGCUACGGUUGUGAGGCUGCAGCAGUGACCAUCUGGGCUUUCAGCCCUUUGCCCUCUGCCAUCAAGUCUUGGACCUUUCUAGAGGGCCUGUUUCUUCUCUUGCCC